GUCUACAUUAGGAAGUUGCAUCACGUGGUGCCAUCUUUAAACUGCUUAAAACUCAAACUUUCACAAGCCACAGCUCCUCUGCUUAUUGUGCACACCAAGAAUGAUGCGGAUAUGCAGAUUUUGUCUGGAUAUACUUAAGACCUGCUAGAGAGACAGAACUUAAAUUAAAUUUGCCCAGCAUGCUUCCUCCUCUUCCAACUACUAAAAUUAUAUGCAAAACACGUGAACAAAAGAAGGAGUGCAUUUCUUCAAGUGCAGUGAGAACCCAGAGCUAUCAAAGUGAUGAUAUGUUGUAGCGGAUUCAUGCUGGCUUAAACUAAAGGUAAUGCUGGAUUAUCCACUAGAAGCAUGAUUCAUGACACCAGUGAAAAAUCCAAGUGGAGCUGCAGAAGAUAAUUUAAUAGAACUCUGUUCCGGAUUCAUAUUAAGAUCAAGAAUGUCUCUGGCAUGUUGAAAAGCCAUUUCAUAUGCCUGAAUGAGUCUGGGGUAUCCCUCAAUAUGGCCCAGCUACUGCAUGCAACAGCAUGGUCAUGCAGUGGUCUACUGGUGAAAUGACCCUUCUUGUCACUGUAGCUCUCAGUUCAAGUCCUACUAUGAUUACUGAUGGCCAGCUAGCUGCAGUAGUAAGAGAUCAGACCCCCCCCAAAAAAAAAUAAACGAGAGAUUUUUAGUUCCCUCUCACCUUCUUUGGUGAAUAAACCUGGACAAAGCUAAAGUAACAGGGAGGGGGUGUAAAGGACUAAAAUUAGGGAUACAUUUAAUACAUUACUCUUUUAAACUUAGAAAGCUGCUAGAACAACAAAUGUUGCAUUGGCACAUAUUUUCUCAAGGAUAUGAAGUCUGAAACUGAAAUGUCUCUCACUACUUAAUGAUUACGAUUCACAAGUAUUUGCCAGAAAACUGCAUAUUUUAUAAGGAUCAGAAAAAAAAAAAUAAAAGUCUGGACACAUGAGAAGUUCUGGAUAGUUGAGAGAGGUUUUUGCUGCUCAACAACUCUCCUCAGGAAUUCUUUGCAAGGAUAAAAAUAACAGUGUAAAAGUAAUGGUAAAGGACCAAGAUUAGGGGCAC